AUUGAACGCUGGCGGCAGGCUUAACACAUGCAAGUCGAGCGGAGAGAAGUAGCUUGCUACUGAUCUUAGCGGCGGACGGGUGAGUAAUGCUUAGGAAUCUGCCUAUUAGUGGGGGACAACAUUUCGAAAGGAAUGCUAAUACCGCAUACGUCCUACGGGAGAAAGCAGGGGAUCUUCGGACCUUGCGCUAAUAGAUGAGCCUAAGUCGGGUUAGCUAGUUGGUGGGGUAAAGGCCUACCAAGGCGACGAUCUGUAGCGGGUCUGAGAGGAUGAUCCGCCACACUGGGACUGAGACACGGCCCAGACUCCUACGGGAGGCAGCAGUGGGGAAUAUUGGACAAUGGGCGGAAGCCUGAUCCAGCCAUGCCGCGUGUGUGAAGAAGGCCUUAUGGUUGUAAAGCACUUUAAGCGAGGAGGAGGCUACUUUAGUUAAUACCUAGAGAUAGUGGACGUUACUCGCAGAAUAAGCACCGGCUAACUCUGUGCCAGCAGCCGCGGUAACAC
rnacentral:rRNA from 1 species